rnacentral:rRNA from 1 species
CCUACGGGUGGCAGCAGUGAGGAAUAUUGGUCAAUGGGCGUAAGCCUGAACCAGCCAAGUCGCGUGAGGGAUGAAGGUUCUAUGGAUUGUAAACCUCUUUUAUAAGGGAAUAAAGUGAGGAACGUGUCCCAUUUUGUAUGUACCUUAUGAAUAAGGAUCGGCUAACUCCGUGCCAGCAGCCGCGGUAAUACGGAGGAUCCGAGCGUUAUCCGGAUUUAUUGGGUUUAAAGGGUGCGUAGGCGGCGUUUUAAGUCAGCGGUGAAAGUCUGUGGCUCAACCAUAGAAUUGCCGUUGAAACUGGGUGGCUUGAGUAUGUUUGAGGCAGGCGGAAUGCGUGGUGUAGCGGUGAAAUGCAUAGAUAUCACGCAGAACCCCGAUUGCGAAGGCAGCUUGCCGGCUUCCGACUGACGCUGAAGCACGAAAGCGUGGGGAUCGAACAGGAUUAGAUACCCGAGUAGUC